AAGUCGUAACAAGGUUUCCGUAGGUGAACCUGCGGAAGGAUCAUUAACACGUAUCCACGUACCCUAUCUAUCCUAUAACACCUAACAAACGUUGAACUUAUAGAUUCAGAUUGACUGAUAUAUCGUUUUAUUAUGUACUUGUACAUAAUAUAUUCGUAUCUCAGUCGACGAAUCUAUAUUAUUUUUUUCACCCCUUCUUCAAUGACUUUGGUCAUAAGUUAACUUGAGCAGACGUAUUGGAUGAGUAUAUACAUCUGUAUAUACGCUAUCCGAUACUUUAUAUCUCAAAGCCAGAUAUAUCUAUGAUAAUAUAAGAGCACAACUCUUAGCAAUGGAUAUCUUGGUUCUC
rnacentral:misc_RNA from 1 species